UCCUACGGGAGGCAGCAGUGGGGGAUAUUGCACAAUGGGGGAAACCCUGAUGCAGCGACGCCGCGUGGGUGAAGAAGCGCCUCGGCGCGUAAAGCCCUGUCAGCAGGGAAGAAAAUGACGGUACCUGAAGAAGAAGCCCCGGCUAACUACGUGCCAGCAGCCGCGGUAAUACGUAGGGGGCAAGCGUUAUCCGGAUUUACUGGGUGUAAAGGGGGCGCAGACGGCAAUGCAAGCCAGGAGUGAAAGCCCGGGGCUCAACCCCGGGACUGCAUUUGGAACUGUGUAGCUGGAGUGUCGGAGAGGCA
rnacentral:rRNA from 1 species